GAUGAACGCUGGCGGCGUGCCUAAUACAUGCAAGUCGAGCGAACGGACGCGAAGCUUGCUUUUCUGAUGUUAGCGGCGGACGGGUGAGUAACACGUGGAUAACCUACCUAUAAGACUGGGAUAACUUCGGGAAACCGGAGCUAAUACCGGAUAAUAUUUUGAACCGCAUGGUUCAAAAGUGAAAGACGGUCUUGCUGUCACUUAUAGAUGGAUCCGCGCUGCAUUAGCUAGUUGGUAAGGUAACGGCUUACCAAGGCAACGAUGCAUAGCCGACCUGAGAGGGUGAUCGGCCACACUGGAACUGAGACACGGUCCAGACUCCUACGGGAGGCAGCAGUAGGGAAUCUUCCGCAAUGGGCGAAAGCCUGACGGAGCAACGCCGCGUGAGUGAUGAAGGUCUUCGGAUCGUAAAACUCUGUUAUUAGGGAAGAACAUAUGUGUAAGUAACUGUGCACAUCUUGACGGUACCUAAUCAGAAAGCCACGGCUAACUACGUG
rnacentral:rRNA from 1 species